GACCAAAAACGACGUGGGAGGUUGUUGGAACACGUAUAACAUCGAACUCAGAGAGAAGAGAGAAGAGAAGAGCAAAAUCAGUCCGAGAUGAACCCAGAAUAAUUGUUGAUUAGGACUACGAAUGCGGGGAUAUCAAUCAUAUGAAAGACAGUUAUGGUGUUGGUCUGUUGGAUUACUUCUUUGACUCACUUUACGAACUUCCAAUGUCUUUCAUUGCAGAAAGAGAACUCAUGAUGAAAACAUUGUAGGUUCCAUCUCACAAAGGCUUAUUCAUAACUCCACUGCAGAUGGAUUGUCUCAGUGUAACACUGCCUGCCUCUAGCUUUCAUUUGGCCGAUUUGGGUAAUCAAAGUUUUCCAUUUGUAUAUUUUAGUCUUGCAUUUGUGAUGUAAUAUUUCUGUUUC